GGCUGAGUUUAAAGUCCCUUCCAACCCAACCCAACCCAUUCCAUAAUUCCACCUAUUCUGUGGCCUCACAAAGGCAGAUGGGAUGAUCACAGCAGAGCAACACACUUUAAAAGACAGAAGACUGUCCUGAAGUCACUCAGAGAGAGGAACAAAACUGGGCAGCCCUUGCUCAGCCUGGACUAAAGGCCAUGUCCCUUUAAGGAGCAACUCCACUCAUUCCAGAGGCAUCAGAACUCAACAAACAUCAGGAGAUUUUAAACAUCCCACGUUACUGGGGCUAAAGCAGCCUAUGGGGUGACACAGGAAGGGGAAGCAGACAGGUCAGACAGAGAGGGGAGGAUGAAGAAAAGGAACCCAAACUGCUGAGAAAUCCACCCUGGCAGGUGGGAUCUACCCCAGCCUGCAGGAUUCCUGGAGCUGUGAGACCUCCAGGGACAGCCAGGCCAUCCUGAGGAAUUCUCUUCAGCUGACUCUUGAAUUAAACCAGCAAACGAGUA